rnacentral:rRNA from 1 species
GGGGCUAGGGGGCAGCUACAAUGCAGUCGAGCGGUAGCACAGAGAGCUUGCUCUCGGGUGACGAGCGGCGGACGGGUGAGUAAUGUCUGGGAAACUGCCUGAUGGAGGGGGAUAACUACCGGAAACGGUAGCUAAUACCGCAUAACGUCGCAAGACCAAAGUGGGGGACCUUCGGGCCUCAUGCCAUCAGAUGUGCCCAGAUGGGAUUAGCUAGUAGGUGGGGUAAGCUUUGGCAAUGCUCUUCGAGAGUCUAUUGCUCUUCCUAGCAGAUCCAAGCGGUUCCAAGAGUGACACGCCCACCUGAAACUGAGAUCUGUUCCAACUCUCUUCGGAGUCAGCAGGGGUAUCUUUGCCAAUCGGGCCAGGCCUGAUGCAAGCCAUGCGUGAUGUGUUGAGGCUGGUCCUCGGGGGUGUACAAGUACAUUUAGUCAACGAGGGAAGUGGCGUAAAGCUUAUAUAGCACUCGUGUGUUUGACGGUUACUCGCUAGAAGCAAAAACCAGCUUUCUUCCUUUCCCAGUGACCGCAGUAAAAGUAAAGGGGCCAGCGUUUAUUUUCAAUUUAUAGGCCUAAAGCCACGCCCCAGGCGGUCCGCCCCGUCAGAUUGGAAAUCCCCGGCCCAGCGAGUCCCCUCCAUACGAGACUGGCAGGAUUUAGUCUGAGAGAGGGAGGUUUACUGCCAGACCUAGCGAAUUAAAUACGUAUUUAUGUGGAGACAUACCGGGGGAGAAGGCGCCCUUUGCUACAAAGACUGACGCUCAGGUGCGAAAGCGUGGGGAGCAAACAGGAUUAGAUACCCUGGUAGUCCACGCAAUAAACGAUGUCGACUUGGAGGUUGCGCCCUUGAGGCGUGGCUUCCGGAGCUAACGCGUUAAGUCGACCGCCUGGGGAGUACGGCCGCAAGGUUAAAACUCAAAUGAAUUGACGGGGGCCCGCACAAGCGGUGGAGCAUGUGGUUUAAUUCGAUGCAACGCGAAGAACCUUACCUACUCUUGACAUCCAGAGAACUUAGCAGAGAUGCUUUGGUGCCUUCGGGAACUCUGAGACAGGUGCUGCAUGGCUGUCGUCAGCUCGUGUUGUGAAAUGUUGGGUUAAGUCCCGCAACGAGCGCAACCCUUAUCCUUUGUUGCCAGCGGUCCGGUCGGGAACUCAAAGGAGACUGCCAGUGAUAAACUGGAGGAAGGUGGGGAUGACGUCAAGUCAUCAUGGCCCUUACGAGUAGGGCUACACACGUGCUACAAUGGCAUAUACAAAGAGAAGCGACCUCGCGAGAGCAAGCGGACCUCAUAAAGUAUGUCGUAGUCCGGAUUGGAGUCUGCAACUCGACUCCAUGAAGUCGGAAUCGCUAGUAAUCGUAGAUCAGAAUGCUACGGUGAAUACGUUCCCGGGCCUUGUACACACCGCCCGUCACACCAUGGGAGUGGGUUGCAAAAGAAGUAGGUAGCUUAACCUUCGGGAGGGCGCUACCACUUGAAUUUAUUGCCC